CUCAUUAUUUGUUGACCAUAUUCCAAGAUAUGUGGAGAAUAAUCUUUGAGAUCUUUGACUCAUUCAUUAUUCAACGGGUUUUAUGAGCCGACGUCACAUUUCAACUUCUCGCAGGCCCGUUUAAGCUCAACUCAAGGUGAUUAGGUUUCUGAGACAGGAAGUCAGGAAGACGUAGAGCUCAUAGCUCAUCUCUUUUAUGUAAGUAGUACAUCAGUUUCUGGACACCGUGUAUAAGGUAACAAAUUGUUUAACACACAUAAAUAUAUGCCCAUAAUAGUUGUACAUU